GUAGUCAUAUGCUUGUCUCAAAGAUUAAGCCAUGCAUGUCUAAGUAUAAGCAAUUAUACCGCGAAACUGCGAAUGGCUCAUUAAAUCAGUUAUCGUUUAUUUGAUAGUACCUUACUACAUGGAUAACCGUGGUAAUUCUAGAGCUAAUACAUGCUAAAAAUCCCGACUUCGGAAGGGAUGUAUUUAUUAGAUUAAAAACCAAUGCCCUUCGGGGCUCUCUGGUGAUUCAUAAUAACUUCUCGAAUCGCACGGCCUUGCGCCGGCGAUGGUUCAUUCAAAUUUCUGCCCUAUCAACUUUCGACGGCUGGGUCUUGGCCAGCCGUGGUGACAACGGGUAACGGGGAAUA
rnacentral:rRNA from 1 species